rnacentral:rRNA from 1 species
GGUGGCCAUUUUAUUUUAUUAGAGGAAUAUGUUUUUUAAUCGAUAAUUCACGAUUAUUUUUACUUUAAUCUAUAUUUUAUAUACCCUCCGUAUUGAGUAAAUCUAAAUAUUAUACUCAAAAUAAUAUUAUAAUAAUUUAGGUAAAGGUGUAAACUAAAUUAAAGAUAAAAUGUAUUACCUUAAAAAUUAUUUAAGGAUUAUUUUUCGUAAAAAUUUAUGAAAAAGGAUUUAUAAGUAUUAUUUUAUUAAUAUUAAAAUAUGAAUUAAAAAAUAAAUGUACACACAUCGCCCGUCGCUCUU